rnacentral:lncRNA from 1 species
UGGAUCUUCAUUUUCCAAACCUCUGAAUUUUCGAAGUAGGUGAAUUAAUCUGGUUUUAAGCUCAAAGGGGCUGUCAAAGGUGGAUAAGUGAUGCACUACGGUGCUUGAUCACCCACGGGUGUUGCUAGUUCGCGAAGAGUCCUUUCUUGUGCCAUUGGAGCUCUUACCUCAUCAUUUUUAGCUUUAAAUUAAGCAAGGACAGUAACUGGUUUAAGAGCAGCAGCUGCUACAUUUUCUGCCUAUUUAGGUGCUGCUGUGACUGCCUUUAUAGUAGUUGAUUCAGCUGCUGUUUUAGGGGAUGGUUCUGAAAUUUUUUUCAACAAAAAUUUUUGGUUUUU